rnacentral:rRNA from 1 species
GGGGAAUUUUGGACAAUGGGCGCAAGCCUGAUCCAGCCAUGCCGCGUGGGUGAAGAAGGCCUUCGGGUUGUAAAGCCCUUUUGUUGGGAAAGAAAAGCAGCCGGCCAAUACCCGGUUGUUCUGCCGGUACCCAAAGAAUAAGCACAGGCUAACUUCGUGCCAGCAGCCGCGGUAAUACGAAGGGUGCAAGCGUUACUCGGAAUUACUGGGCGUAAAGCGCGCGUAGGUGGUUUGGUAAGAUGGAUGUGAAGUCCCCGGGCUCAACCUGGGAACUGCAUCCAUAACUGCCUGACUAGAGUACGGUAGAGGGUGGUGGAAUUUCCUGUGUAGCGGUGAAAUGCGUAGAUAUAGGAAGGAACACCAGUGGCGAAGGCGACCACCUGGACUGAUACUGACACUGAGGUGCGAAAGCGUGGGGAGCAAACA